GAGUGAUGAGGGGCUGGUGUGACAAAGGACACCUCCCAGCCUUGGGUGCCUCCCUGUGCUCAURAUCUGACACAGCUUCACUGAGACAGAGCAGUUCACUGGUACAGAGAUGUCUGAUUGAAGUCAAACACAGAAAGGGUCCACAUCUGUUCAUAUGGAAAAUGGAAUUCCAGCUAAAUCAUGUAGAGAAUGUCUUGUGUGCAGCCUCUGGUCAAGGACUGGCUUCUCUCUGGUGAUAAACUCCUGUGCUUAACCUGUAUCAAAAAAAGAUUUCUUCACUUUGCCCAGGUGAUGUACUUUGGUAGCCCAAGCACGAUUUUCUCAUCUUGAUAACAGAAAUAAGAGAGAAGCCAACAGGUGCUGGUGAUACAAUUGAUCCCACUGAAGAAGUAAGAAGUCAUGCCUGUGACUGAUAAGAGCACAAAGUCUUCUUACACAUGUUGAUUCUGGAGGCCUGAAGGCAGAGAAACAACCAGCAUUAUCAUACAUGAUGGGAAAAUUUACCWAAAAAGUAUCACUUCAGCAUUUGGAUUUGAAUCAAUCAUGCUGCAAACUGGGAGAUUAUUUUCUGAGAACAGUGUAGAGAGCUGUAUGCAUUGCAGGCUAAAGCAAAGCUCAGAAGGGCUUAGAAAUGUUGUGUUGAAAAAAUGAGCAUGAAAAUGGGACCAACAGGAAAUCGGUGUUGGUCUAAUGAGCUGUGCUUAUUUAGUCCAUCCAAGGCCUAGUGAACUAGGUUCAGAAUGGUGACAUUCUGGAGAGGAAGACAGGAAAACUGGGCCACAUCCAAAAUUAGUACUUAAGAGAUAUAUAGCCUGGACAGAAUACUAAUAGCUGCAAAAUGAACAUUUAGCAUAUGGAUAAAGUAAUGACUGGUUAA